UGUCGCGGCCCGAGUCGGCCAUUCUCUUUCUGUGUCAUGCUUUGGGCGUGUUUUGUGCGGCAAUGGGCUUCUGGAAGGUUGGGGACACCACGUGACGUCCAGUAGGGCUCCUGAAAGGUUGGAGACACCAUGUGAUUUCCAGCAGGGCUUCUGGAAGGUUGGGAACACCAUGUGACAUCUAGCAGGGCUUCUGGAAGGUUGAGGACACCAUGUGAUAUCUAGCAGGUAAGAAAUGACUCCAAGCUGACUGCCUUCCCUCCUAACAGGGAUAUCCUGUAGGUAGCUACUGGGGAGAGAAGCUAUUUGUAGCCCUGGUACAACAGAUCAGCAAAACGGUGGCUGCCUACUCCAAGUGAAACAGCAGGAAGACUUCCCCAAGGCAGGCUGGUUCCACCAUGAUGUGAUCUUUUCAGUGGCAGCUGCCACUUGUCUGCUGUGUGACCUUAGGCAAGUCACUUCAUGUUUCUGCCUCAGUGCCCUCAUUUGUAAAAUGGGGAUUAAAAUUGUGAGCCUUCUGUGGGACAGGGACUGUGUCCAGCCUGAUAAACAUGUAUCUACCUUAGUGCUUAGUACAGUACCUGCUACAUAGUGUUUAACAAGUAACAAUUAUCAUUGGCUGCCUGGACUCCAACUUGUGUCGAUUCAACUUUUGCAUUUCAGGGUGGGAUGGGGGACUGUCCUGCAGGGAUUUAUGGUGGCGGGGAGGGGGUGAAGAAAACAUGUAUACUAUUACAAAAUAAAGUCUAUGAAGUCUAUUCUAAAA